AUGACGCCGUCGCACGCCCCCGCCUCCGCCGCGCCGGCCGCCUCCUCCGGCGGCGGGCGGAGGACCGCGACGUUCGCGGGCGCCAGCGUGUUCCUCUCGCGGAAGCUGGUGGCCCCCGAGGUGUUCGACGCCGUGCACGACGCGCUCCGCCUCAACGGCGCCGAUGUCCUCCUCUGCGCCGACCCCACCCGCACGGGGCCCCUCGACUACCACGUCAUCUCCUCCUCCUCCCACGAGAGGUUCGCGGAUCUGAAGGACAAAGGCUGCAAUCUGCUAGGACCACAAUGCAUCCUUUCCUGUGCCAAGGAGCAUCGUUCCCUGCCUAAACAAGCUUAUACUUGUUGUCUUGCAAUGGAUGGGGUUACUAUACUCUGUUCAGGCUUCGAGAAAGAUGAGAGGGCCAGGAUUGAACAGUUAGUGACAGCUAUGGGAGGUCUUUUGCAAACUAAAGUGUCCAUGGAUGUUAACUUUGUCGUUGCAAAGGAUGUCUUGGCUGCCAAAUAUAAAUGGGCCGUGAAUAGCCUGAAGAAGCCUAUUGUCAAUAGGAACUGGUUGGAGCAAUGCUGGAUCGAACAUCGUGUUGUGCCUCAUGAACCUUACAGGAUUCUUCCUUUUACUGGGUUGAAUAUAUGCAUCACAAAACUAGAUGCAGAUAAACGGAAGGAGUUGAUGGAAAUAAUAGAGCAGAAUGGUGGCCAGUAUUCAGCAAAUCUUACAAAGAAGUGCACUCAUUUAGUUGCAAAUGAACCUGGUGGUGACAAGUAUCUUGUAGCUAAAAAAUGGGGUAAUAUUCACAUUGUGGAUCGGAGAUGGGUUGACCAAUCUGUUGCUCGAAGAGCUUAUCUAGAUGAAAGUGCCUAUGUCAUUGGCCAGAGUUCUUCUAACUGUAAUGGCAUAAAGGGCUCCCUUAAGGAGCAACGGAACCCAAUGAGCAGUGCAAGUUUUCAAUCUGUUCCAGCAGUAUCAGUUGAUGAUUCAGUAUCGAUGUCACAGUAUGCGCCAGUUUCUUCCGGUUAUGCUUCAAAGAUCUGCAACACUGAUAUUGUCGGUGCACCUUGUGUCCAAGAGACAAACGAGAUGCCGGUUGAGAGUCAUGUAGCUGAGGACUCAGAGGCUGAAGAUGACGAUCUGUACUUAUCAAAUUGCAGAAUUUCUCUUGUGGGUUUUGAGGAGAAAGAGUUGUCAAGGUUAGUCAUGAUGAUACGUAAUGGUGGUGGAUCCCGGCAUGUUAUGUUGAGUGAGAGGCUUACUCAUAUUAUUCUAGGUGCACCUUCAGAGGAAGAAAAAAAAGAGGUAAGACGCCUUGCUGCUUGGGGUGUAAUAAAUGUCGUAAAGGUAAAAUGGUUGGAAGACUGCAGUAAAAUAAAAACGGAAGUCAAAGUAUCCGCAGCUCAUUUGGCUAGCGAGUUACUCUCGAAAGAAUUUCCGUUUGUGGGUAUGGAAAAAUCUGCUGCUACACGUGAAACAAAGGCAGCCAAAAGUUCACAUGGAAUAUUCCAUGUUCCAACUGUCAAUGAUUCACAUGAUAAGCAGCUUGCAAAAGAUCCGUCAUCUGAAAGAAAACCAGCCAUGGGCAAACAUGAAAACAUGAAUAAUACCCGAGCAGCAACUAGGUCUGCAAAAUCAAGCCAACAAAAUGGACUGACCAGUUCUGGCAAAGCAACUUCUUCUGCAGUGAAUUCACAGAGUAGCACCACUUCAAAUAUUUUCGAAGGGAGAACAUUUUGUUUCUCAAAUUCAUUUUCUCAUGACCGGAGACCGGAGGUAAUCGAUUGGGUCAUAAAAGGGGGAGGCACUAUGGCGGUGGAUGAUGCACAAGCAACUGCUGUGGAUUUCAUAAUUGAGUGCCAUGGACAGAACAGCAUGCAAUGUGACUACGCUCAUUCAACUGUUGUUUCAACUCAAUGGAUAGCCUCAUGUAUUGAGGUGCAUGUUUAUGUUCUCAUGGUGGGCCACUUGCAAGAUGUUGGAAGUCAUCCUAUCUUCUCUCCUUUGCGGUGUCGCAUCCCAUUCCCAGGGUUUGAAGACUUCCGUUUCUGUGUUUCACAGUAUGAUGAGAAAGAGAGAGUUCUGCUUAAGAACCUCUGUCUUACUCUAGGAGCUAAAUUCACAGAGAAAGCAUCGAAAAGAGUGAACCAUCUUAUCUGUAAAUUUGCAAGCGGUCCAAAGUACGAGGCUUACCAUAAUAAGAGAAUUCCAACCAUUACCACAGAGUGGCUCUUCGAAUGUGUGAGACAGGACACCAUUAUCCCUUAUGACCAGUUUCAGCCGAAACCACCUACUUCUCAGGACAAGGAUGCUGGUAUGUGCACUGUUAGUCAAUUUCCGACGCAAGCCGCCAAUACGACCUCUAAAUUUGAUUGCCCUGAGCCACUUAGUAAACCUCAAGUACCAAGAAGCAGUUCAAAACACAGCUCAGGCUCCUCUGUUAGUGAGGAGAAAAUUGCUUCUUCUGUUAACAAAAGAAGACGAUCCGGAACAGCCAAGGCUAAUGAUACAUCUACACACAUUGGACAAACAGAGAAACAUUCGGACAGCAGCUCUGCUCUGGGUGUUGCAGACUCCAUAAAGGACUUCGAGGACCUACUGGUUCAGUCAUCCAGGGAUCCUGCACUUGAUGCUUCUGUUGUAGGUCAAGAUGAGGAACCUCAACCUGUGCCAGAUAAUGCUUUCACUUCCUUAUACAAUGACAUGAAAACCCGCUCAAAUAACUGGCCACAGAAGCAACACAUGCCCCCUGGCAAGAAUGUCAAGAGCCCAGACUCCACCCGGGCCCCUGUCCCAACUCCCUAUCUACCUUUCAGCGAAACACAGACAGAUUCCCAGAUCAUCGGGUAUGAAGAAGAUUUGACUGGCAUGCAGAAGAUCAUUGACAGAGUUAGUUCUCAAAAAAAGACCAUCGACAGUUCAGGCACCGACAGUUCAGUCAUGGGGCAUCAAUGGGACUCCCUCAAAUGA
rnacentral:rRNA from 1 species